rnacentral:rRNA from 1 species
CUUCAGAGGGGGACGAACAGUUGGAAACGACUGCUAAUACCGCAUACGAUCUAAUCUCGGCAUCGAGGAUAGAUGAAAGGUGGCCUCUACAUGUAAGCUAUCACUGAAGGAGGGGAUUGCGUCUGAUUAGCUAGUUGGAGGGGUAACGGCCCACCAAGGCGAUGAUCAGUAGCCGGUCUGAGAGGAUGAACGGCCACACUGGAACUGAGACACGGUCCAGACUCCUACGGGAGGCAGCAUG